UACGUAGGUGGCAAGCGUUGUCCGGAAUUAUUGGGCGUAAAGCGCGCGCAGGCGGUCUUUUAAGUCUGAUGUGAAAUCUCGCGGCUCAACCGUGAGCGGUCAUUGGAAACUGGGAGACUUGAGUGCAGAAGAGAAGAGCGGAAUUCCACGUGUAGCGGUGAAAUGCGUAGAGAUGUGGAGGAACACCAGUGGCGAAGGCGGCUCUUUGGUCUGUAACUGACGCUGAGGUGCGAAAGCGUGGGGAGCGAACAGG
rnacentral:rRNA from 1 species